rnacentral:rRNA from 1 species
GAUGAACGCUGGCGGCGUGCCUAAUACAUGCAAGUCGAGCGAACAGACGAGGAGCUUGCUCCUCUGACGUUAGCGGCGGACGGGUGAGUAACACGUGGAUAACCUACCUAUAAGACUGGGAUAACUUCGGGAAACCGGAGCUAAUACCGGAUAAUAUAUUGAACCGCAUGGUUCAAUAGUGAAAGACGGUUUUGCUGUCACUUAUAGAUGGAUCCGCGCCGCAUUAGCUAGUUGGUAAGGUAACGGCUUACCAAGGCAACGAUGCGUAGCCGACCUGAGAGGGUGAUAGGGCACACUGGAACUGAGACACGGGCCAGACACCUACGGGAGGGAGCAGUAGGGAAAAUUCCGCAAUGGGCGAAAGCCUGACGGAGCAACGCCGCGUGAGUGAUGAAGGGCUUCGGAUCGUAAAACUCUGUUAUUAGGGAAGAACAAAUGUGUAAGUAACUAUGCACGUCUUGACGGUACCUAAUCAGAAAGCCACGGCUAAAUACGUG